AGAAUAGGCACUCCGAGUUAUUGAACAUGGGAGCGCAAGUACUGUAUAUAUACAGUUAUAUAUGAUAUCUUGCUAUUAAACCUCAUCUUAAUAAAGCUAAGCAGCUUGUAACUGAAAUAAGUUUUCUUCUGAGGCUAAAACUUUCAUUCCAGGUUCAGAACCAAAAGAUAUCAUGAACACUAUGAUAUUUCUUGGCUCUUUAGUCAUCAGUAGAAAAAGUUGCAUUCUAAAUUACAAGAAUAUAAGACUCCUUAUGCGUGGAAUUUCAUGAAUUUUCAGUAUGAAUCAUUAUUUUUGUAAAUAGUUGAGUCUGCUGAAGAGGAGGGGGAAAAUGGCGCACUUAGAGACACUUGGAGUUAGAUUUGCAAGAAACAUCAAUUACGCUUGUGUCUAUAGUAAAAUGAAGAUGAAUACAUUUGGCACAUAAAUCAGCAGGUUUCAUACACCAAAAAAAAUUCCUGUACCUACUCGUAUCCACAAUCAAGCCAGACCAGACGUUUAACGUUUUUUUACUUUUCAACUCAACAAAUCAAGAUGAAGCUUUCAUCAAGUCCUUUUCUGAGCAAAAUACAGAGCUUAAACAGUGUCUGAAACAGAACACGUCAAACUGUUGCGAGAUCCCUUUGAAUGGAAUUACGGAGCCGGCGCUUUAAGUGAGUCUCACUGUUGAUGUUGGUAAAGAGUUCAUGUUUUACCGUUAAAAAUUGAACGAACACAGGUUCUUCUGCCAUGCAGAUGUCUGAGGUGCCUGCAUAUUUCAUGUAUAUAAUUUUUGACCACUCAGUAAUACAUAAAUUAAUAUACAUUUUUAUUUUUAUUUCCUCGCACUUUUUCUCUUUUCAUUCUUUCCUUUUGUUUUGAACUAUAUAUAUGUAGAUCAAUUAAUGAUACAUUCCUUCACUCCUAAGAUAUUUAAAACUCUCAAGAUAAAUGGAUUUGCAGCUCAUAAGCACUUCAGGUAAUUGAUCACACUUUGGAGUAAAAUCGUACGAAAAUCAUUUUGAGCAAGUCACAGGAAUCUAAAAUAUUAUUUACUCAAAAAAGUGCAAUUAAUGCAGCAUUUAGGUAUCACGUGCCUUUCUUUAAAUGUGCCGCGUAAAAUUUCUGCUUCCUGGUGACGAAGAGAGAAGUUUCAAUGGAUGCGGUGAAUUUGCGAGUAUUAAAUGCGGACAAAGCAAAAUGUGCUUUAAGGAUUAAAUUUUAAACAUUAAAAUAAAUAAGAAAAAUAAAAUAAAUAAAUAAAACAAAGAAAACAUAAAAAAACAAGUGAUCUCAAUUUGCACGAUUUUGUAAAAUGGAUAAUAGUUAAGCUUGGAUAGCUGGUAAUUUUUAUAUUUUCAAAUCCUCUCCUAAUGUAAUGAGAGGCGUUAUGUUACUUUAGACUUGCGACUGUUUCCAAAUCCGACUGAAUUGCCUUCAUAUUGCGUUGAUACAGCCCGCUCACACUCAUGUGCGUAUAGUUGCCGUUUAAAAUAUCAUUGAAUACUGCGCUCGACGAUGAAGGGGCUACGAACGACGUUUCUUUGUCGAGUCUAUUACGUCUAUACUCGUCGUGUAUUCGAGGACUUUUUUAUAUUAUACAGAGGAAACUAAAGGUUAAUAGUCAUUAAUCAUUCUUAUUAUAUGUUUUGUAAGACCGUAUUGAGGUUUGCUUACAAAAAUCAUGCGUGCUUUUAGGUCAGGAGGUUUUCCAUGCAGCAAUGUACAAGUUUGACACACAGGAAUUAGGUUUCACUUAGGUUUUUUUGUACAGUUUUUGUAAUUAGUAGUUGCUUCCCAAUAUUUUAGUAUUUUUCUUAUCUAAUACGUUAUUUUGAAAUAAAUGUUUA
rnacentral:lncRNA from 1 species